UCUGGAGGACCAAGAAGGCUUGAGUCUGAUGAAGCAAGACUUGGCUGAUACACUCCUCCUACACAAAGGGGUAGAGAGAGCAGUCCUUACUGGAGAAAACCACGGGGCUGACAAUACUACCCAACAUUU